CAUAGGCAGUGACGUGAAGUAUUUAAAUAUCAGCAAGCAGUUGAAACUAGCAAUUCAAAUAGUACCAAAUUUUGUGUUCCUUCGACUUAUACAAGUUCCAAAUAUUUGUUCUUAUCUUAUCUAAAAACAAGAAUUGAAAAUGGCAGAGGAAGCAGAAGCAGCAGCAGCAGCAGCAGAGAAGAAUCAAAAUGGAAAGAUGAUCGUAGCAGUUGAUGAGAGUGGGUGUAGCAGUUAUGCUCUGAAAUGGGCGUUACAAAAUCUGGGCGAUAAACUCAAAUCUGGUGUUAUUCUUUUUACGGCCGUUUCUGUUACACAAAGUGGUGUUUUUGCUGGUGGUUACGGCACUGUUCCUCUUGAUCUGGUAACAACAAUCCAACAGAAUCAAAAAAAGUUUGCAACUUCUCUCCUUACGAAAGCUAAGGAAAUAUGUGCACAAUAUGGGGUUGAUGCUGAGACACUGUGUGUGAUGGGAAAUCCAAAAGAUGCGAUUUGUGAUGCAGUGGAGAAGUUUCAUUGUAAUUUACUUGUUAUGGGCACUCAUAGUCGAGGAGCUCUACAAAGGGCGUUUCUUGGAAGUGUUAGCAACUACUGCAUUCAUCAUGCUAAGUGUCCUGUUCUUGUAGUAAGGAAACGAGUCUGAAGGAAAUCUACGGUUUGCUGUUAUUGUAAAUAAGUAGCUAUGUUGUAAUAGCAUGUUAUGAUAAACUACCGGAGGUAGUAAAUGAAAUAAAAUACUUCCAUAUUUCUGAAAUAAUUAGCCACAUGUGAAUAUAUGAUUGUUUUCAUGUCUAUAAAAGGGACUCCCUUAGUUUUUUACUCUUUUAA